GACUCUCAUUAAAGCAAAGAGAGCAUCAACACAAAAUUGUUAAAUGUGGUUAGAAUCAUGGAUGGACUUCAAUAGCAGUACAUUUUGUUACUGCGGCACAUUCUUAGGGGGCAGCUAUGAUAGCAGCACUGCUGACAGUAAGCCAGGCCAGGCACUCUGUCCGUUCCCCUCUAUUCUACCUAAAAUGUACGAAGGAUUGUUCUCUCAGCUGGGUUCCUGGCUGGAGGGGCUUACACUGGUUGCAGUAGCAGGUAUUUUGUCAUGAAUGCUGAUACUAGACAGUCUUUUGUGCUUUUUAUUUCAGGAGUAGGGAAAAUAUGCAGAGCUUUUUGACAGCAUCCAGUUAUUUGUCUUGCUUAUCCAUGCAUGCAUUUGUCUCUUUGUCUGAUAGUUAAUGCUUUAUUUAAUUCUUCUGUUAGGUAUUAAUUGCGCAGUCUAGAGCUUCUGGAAGCCACCGAGAUGUUGAAGAUGAAGAACUUACACGAAUUUUUGUUAUGAUACCGAAGUCCUAUACGGAGGAAGAUUUGCGAGAUAAAUUUAAGAUAUAUGGAGAUAUUGACUACUGCAGCAUUAUUAAGAACAAGAACACAGGAGAAAGUAAAGGUUUGGGCUAUGUGAAGUAUAUAAAACCAUCUCAAGCUGCCCUGGCAAUAGAAGAGUGUGAUCGAAGUAUACAGGUGUGGGCCACGAUUCCCGGAUGGUCCUUGGGAAACGGCCGCAGUUG